rnacentral:rRNA from 1 species
UUCUGCCCUAUGAUAGUUUAAAUGGCUGCAGUAUUUUGACUGUGCAAAGGUAGCAUAAUAAUUAGUUAAUUAAUUGUUAACUGGAAUGAAAGAAUAAAUGAGAAAUUUAUUUUAUUUAUUUUAUUUUUAGAAUUUUAUUUUUUAGUAAAAAAGCUUAAAUUAUUUUUUGGGACGAUAAGACCCUAUAGAACUUUAAUAAAAUAUUUUAUAUUUAUUUUUAGUAAUUAAUUUUUAAUUAAUUUUAUUUUUUUUUAGUUGGGGUGAUUAAUAAGUUAAACUUUAUUUUUUUAAAUCAUUGUUUUAUGAUUUUUUUGAUCCCUUAUUGGAUUAAGAGAUUAAGUUACCUUAGGGAUAACAGCGUAAUUUCAGUGGGGAGUUCAUAUUUAUAUUGAAGUUUGCGACCUCGAUGUUGAAUUAAGAUUAUUAAGUGGGGUAG